GAGUUAGGGUCUUUCAGGCCCGACCUCCCAACCCUUUGUCUACAGAACCUCUGUUGCUUCGGCGGACCCGUCUCACGACCGCCGGAGGACCGCCGCAGGGCAUCCUCUGGUCAGCGUCCGUCGAUAGCCAAAUUUAAACUCUGAAUGAAUCGUGUCAUAUAUGUCUAAGUCUAUGAUUAAAUAAAGCAAAACUUUCAACAACGGAUCUCUUGGUUCU
rnacentral:misc_RNA from 1 species